rnacentral:tRNA from 1 species
GCCGUGGUGCUGGAACUGGUAGACAGGCUAGCUUGAGGGGCUAGUGUCCAUUGCGGGCGUGCGAGUUCAACUCUCGCCCACGGCACCA